rnacentral:rRNA from 1 species
AUUGAACGCUGGCGGAAUGCUUUACACAUGCAAGUCGAACGGCAGCACGGGGCAACCUGGUGGCGAGUGGCGAACGGGUGAGUAAUACAUCGGAACGUGCCCAAUCGUGGGGGGAUAACGUAGCGAAAGUUACGCUAAUACCGCAUACGAUCUACGGAUGAAAGCGGGGGAUCGCAAGACCUCGCGCGAGUGGAGCGGCCGAUGUCAGAUUAGGUAGUUGGUGGGGUAAAGGCUCACCAAGCCAACGAUCUGUAGCUGGUCUGAGAGGACGACCAGCCACACUGGAACUGAGACACGGUCCAGACUCCUACGGGAGGCAGCAGUGGGGAAUUUUGGACAAUGGGCGCAAGCCUGAUCCAGCCAUUCCGCGUGCAGGAUGAAGGCCUUCGGGUUGUAAACUGCUUUUGUACGGUAACGAAACGGCGAGCUCUAAUACAGUUUGCUAAUGACGGUACCGUAAGAAUAAGCACCGG